ensembl:lncRNA
GUAGAUGUCUAGUCUCCAUUAUGGCUCUAAUCUGAUAUUGGGGUGGUAGAUGGCUAGUCUCCUUCGUGGCUCUAAUCUGAUAGUGGGGUGGUAGAUGUCUAGUCUACUUUAUGGCUCUAAUCUGAUAGUGGUAGUGGGGUGGAAGAUGUCUAGUCUCCUUUAUGGCUCUAAUCUGAUAGUGGUAGUGGGGAGGAAGAUGUCUAGUCUUCUUUAUGGCUCUAAUCUGAUACUGUUAGUGGGGUGGUUGAUGUCUAGUCUCCUUUAUGGCUCUAAUCUGAUAGUGGUAUGGGGUGGUAGAUGUCUAGUCUCCUUUAUGGCUCUAAUCUGAUAGUGGUAGUGGGGUGGUAGAUGUCCUGUCUCCAUUAUGGCUCUAAUCUGAUAGUGUUAG